ensembl:miRNA
CCUGGGAGUGGAUGGGGGGUGUGUGGAGGGAGCACUGAGCCUGCCCACCAGCCUGUGUCCACCUCCAG